AGGAGCCCAGGGCCAGUGGAUGCUGUUUAUGGGGAGUCCCGGGCUCAGCAGCAGCUCUUUACCUGAGCCCCAGGGCAGCCCGGACCCACUCCCAGUGUGGUGGAGGUCUGAGAAUGAGAGCUGCUCCCUCCCCCUGGUCCCAAGCAGCACUGGGGGCACCCACCACCCUCAGGAUCCCUGAGGCCAUACAUGUGAUGCAUGUGUGCAGCCCCUGUGCGGGGGAGGUUUGUUCUUGCUCGCAGGGUCCCUGAGGAGUUCAGGACAAGGUCAGCCCAGGGCAGCGCUGCUCUCGCCCCACCAAGCAGUUUCCUGCAGGACAUCCUAGAAUAAACCCGUGGCCCAAGGUUACAGCCAUGGAGCAGCUCCUGCUCUCCUUGCCAGCUCCUGGACAAAACUUUGGGUCUGCCAGCAUCCCUGGCCUUCGCUCUGUGGUGCCCCAGGAGACAGCCCAGCCCCAAAGGUGAUGACAAGCUCUGGAAAAUUCAGCCCUGAAGCCCAAGGCUUUUUAAGGAACGGAUGAUCCUAAUGAGCUGUCCUGGGGGAGCUCUGAGCCCUGCAGACAAAGCCAGGAUGACGCCUUCACUGCCUGGAGCUGCAGGAAAACACAGGGCGUGAUGCUGGGCACCCAUGCUGGCUUCCCUUCCCUUCCUCAGCAGCGGGGAGUACACAGCUCAGCGACACCACAGUUUCCAACACAGAGGAGCGGCUGUCCAGUAGUUCUGCCAGGGGCUGGCAAGUCCCACAGCUCCAGGAGGAGAAACGCUUGCCUGGGUACAGCCUCUCACCUGAGAGGCAUCAGGAGGGUCGGAGAAGGCGAUGAGCCCUUGGAGCCACUGGGACUCAGAAGAACACUUGGAGCCUUGAGGACCUGGCCACCUGUAUUCCUUCAGCUGCCAGAGGACAAGAGCUGCUCUGCGCCUCGGUUGGAGCUGGACCUGUGUGCUCUGACCUUCCCACCCUGGCUGUGUGUGUGGGACUGCGACACGAGAGCCUCAUCCACACUGUUUGUUUGCAUAGCAGAGAACGGGAGCUGAAGCCAAAUCCAUUAAGCAAGCAAAUAAAUAAGAAGGCGUGAGAUAAAGCAGCAGAGAGGGAAGAUGAAGGUGGCCAGCGGCUGCGCUCCCCAGGCGGGGACCCUGAGCCCACCGGGUGCCGCACACAGCGUGGCGAGGCAAUUUCAUUCCAGCUGGGAGAGCAGCGGGGCCGUGCUUUCAAAUCCUGCCCAUCUUCUCCAGAAGCACCAGUCUGGUAAGGGGAAAAAAAAACCAAAAAGACAUUUUCUUGUAAGUUAAAAGCAGAAUCCCCACGAACUGGAGGGUUGGCCCUUACAGCCACAGCAGAAGGCUCUUUCAGGGUGGCAGCUCCCCAUCGCAGCGGUUUGCCAGCCUGUUUUCUCCAGGGAACAGCGCUGCCCUUUCCAACUGCUGGGAAUUUUCUGCAGAGGUUUUAUUAGCAACAUUUUGCUUUGUUUUUGAACACAGAAUGAAAGUUAGGACCAGAACAAACUGCACCAAGCACUGUAUCAUCUGGGUUCUCCUUGUUUGUUUGACUCGGUGGAUGCUUUCCCGCGGGAAAGCGGGGCCCCUCAUGCUCUUUUCCCUCACAGUGUGGCAUUUGUGGGAUUUAAAUCAUGGUAUUUUGGGCAAAAUAGGCUAUUCCUUUCCCUCCUCCAUGCGGAUCAGAGCCUGAGGCUCCUCUGGUGCCCUUUGGAGGGAGAGGAAAGCAUAAGCGCGUUGUCAGGGGGUCCCCACGGAGUUGGCACCCACUUGGAGGGUGGCUUUUGUCACCACACAGGGACCUCCUGCCACAUGAGAGCAUCCCCAUCCUGCAGCGGUGGGGCUGGUGAGUGGCUGGUGAGCAACCUGCGCGUGAUGACCCACCUCCCUCGCACUUGUUCCACUCAGCAAACACACAGCCUGGGAAGAACCUCCCCUCGACCCAGCGACGUGAAGGCUACGAGCCUUAUCUCGCUGCCCAGCGUUGCCAUUUUAAGCAGCUAAUCUCAUGGGGAAAAAAUGGAAUCAUUUCCGAUUAAUCACGGCUAUUUGGCUGGG